rnacentral:lncRNA from 1 species
AUAUACUUAAUUAGCUAGCUAGCUCCCUUACAUAGAGCCAUGGACUACCUGCCCCAGCACAAGAAGGUCGACGACGAGGAGGCGGCGGCGGCGGCGGAUACCGGCAAGGCGAAGGAGCACGGGAAAGAGGAGGAGAAGCAGCACGGCCACAGCCGCAUAGCCGACGCGGUGGAGUACGUCGACUUCGGCGCUGUUCAAGUUGGAACGGCUUAUCUCGAAAAGAAGUACGAGGCGGCGACUGGGGAGAAGGCAGUGGACAAAAUGGUGAGGUUGAUCGGCAAGGAGGAUACCUUUAAGGAUCGUGACCAGGAGGAUAAAAAUAAGGGCGUCGUCUACCAGUUCUGAUAUAUCAAUAAAUCAUGUAUAAUAUAUACUCCAUCCAUAAUAAAAUAUAAGCAUUUAGCUAAAAGUUGCUAUAUUUUAGAACAGUAGUAGCUACUGCAUGCGUACGCCAUAUGUGUUCAGUGCUCCCUCCUAGCCAAGGCGUACGUGUUUUGAAUAAGUGGCAGGGUGGUAAGCAACGUAUAGAUCACUCUAUAUAUUUCUCUUAUGUAGCAAAAAAAAAAACUAGCUAAAGCUACAUAUAUAAUUAAUGCCUAUAAAGGC